CAAUCAAACCGGGAGAUAGCUGGUUCUCCCCGAAAGCUAUUUAGGUAGCGCCUCGUGAAUUCAUCUCCGGGGGUAGAGCACUGUUUCGGCUAGGGGGCCAUCCCGGCUUACCAACCCGAUGCAAACUGCGAAUACCGGAGAAUGUUAUCACGGGAGACACACGGCGGGUGCUAACGUCCGUCGUGAAGAGGGAAACAACCCAGACCGCCAGCUAAGGUCCCAAAGUCAUGGUUAAGUGGGAAACGAUGUGGGAAGGCCCAGACAGCCAGGAUGUUGGCUUAGAAGCAGCCAUCAUUUAAAGAAAGCGUAAUAGCUCACUGGUCGAGUCGGCCUGCGCGGAAGAUGUAACGGGGCUAAACCAUGCACCGAAGCUGCGGCAGCGAACGUAUCACCCAAGACAACUUUACGGAGUUGACGAUUGACGGAGCGAAGCGACGUCAAAGCGUUCAUUAAAGUCGAGUUGGCUUAGGGAUACGUUCGUUGGGUAGGGGAGCGUUCUGUAAGCCUGUGAAGGUGUGUCGUGAGGCAUGCUGGAGGUAUCAGAAGUGCGAA
rnacentral:rRNA from 1 species